rnacentral:rRNA from 1 species
GACGAACGCUGGCGGCGUGCUUAACACAUGCAAGUCGAACGGAAAGGCCCUGCUUUUGUGGGGUGCUCGAGUGGCGAACGGGUGAGUAACACGUGAGUAACCUGCCCUUCACUUUGGGAUAACUUCAGGAAACUGGGGCUAAUACCGGAUAGGAGCUCCUGCUGCAUGGUGGGGGUUGGAAAGUUUCGGCGGUUGGGGAUGGACUCGCGGCUUAUCAGCUUGCUGGUGGGGUAGUGGCUUACCAAGGCUUUGACGGGUAGCCGGCCUGAGAGGGUGACCGGCCACAUUGGGACUGAGAUACGGCCCAGACUCCUACGGGAGGCAGCAGUGGGGAAUAUUGCACAAUGGGCGGAAGCCUGAUGCAGCAACGCCGCGUGCGGGAUGACGGCCUUCGGGUUGUAAACCGCUUUCGCCUGUGACGAAGCGUGAGUGACGGUAAUGGGUAAAGAAGCACCGGCUAACUACGUG